rnacentral:misc_RNA from 1 species
GAACAUGAUGUGUGCAGCUGAUCCUCGCCAUGGGCGUUACCUUACAGCAUCAGCAAUGUUUAGAGGCAAAAUGAGCACUAAAGAAGUCGACGAGCAGAUGAUAAAUGUGCAGAACAAAAAUUCUUCCUACUUCGUAGAAUGGAUACCCAACAAUGUAAAGUCAAGCGUCUGUGAUAUCCCACCAAAAGGGCUUACCAUGGCUUCAACAUUUGUGGGGAAUUCAACUUCUAUACAGGAAAUGUUUAGGAGAGUGAGUGAACAGUUUACUGCUAUGUUUAGGAGGAAAGCAUUCUUGCAUUGGUAUACAGGAGAAGGAAUGGAUGAAAUGGAGUUCACAGAAGCUGAAAGCAAUGUGAAUGAUCUUGUUGCUGAAUAUCAGCAGUAUCAGGAUGCCACUGCUGAUGAAGAUGUUGAGUAUGAGGAGGAUGAUGAUCACGAGGGUGCGGAGAAUUGAAGGUGUUCUGCUAAUUUACUGCUUCGAAUGUUUCGUGCAGUAAUAAAUCACUAGAUUUUGAUUGUUGAAUGAACAUUGUUGCUGUUGUUGUGAUGGUGAUGGAUUCCUGAAGGUUUUUAUUUGAGUAGUUCUCUGGUGUUG